UCCGUUCCGGUUCAAGUGAAUGACUAGGAAAAGAGAACCAUGUGGCGGAGAUAUCGAUUUGGAACUCAUGGGUGGUGUUGCUGAAAUUCGGCUCAGGACGGGAGUAAAAAAUGGUGUAGAAAUUUACAGAGUUUCCGAAGACUGUACAUGGACACUGAGGACGGCUGAUGAUCAUUUUAUGAUCUUAAAAUCCGACUAUUUUAGUGUUGAAAAGAGCGAAAACUGUAUGUAAGUAA